rnacentral:rRNA from 1 species
GACGUAGGGCGCGAGCGUUGUCCGGAUUUAUUGGGCGUAAAGAGCUCGUAGGCGGCUUGUCGCGUCGACUGUGAAAACUCGGGGCUCAACUCCGAGCUUGCAGUCGAUACGGGCAGGCUAGAGUUCGGUAGGGGAGAUCGGAAUUCCUGGUGUAGCGGUGAAAUGCGCAGAUAUCAGGAGGAACACCGGUGGCGAAGGCGGAUCUCUGGGCCGAUACUGACGCUGAGGAGCGAAAGCGUGGGGAGCGAACAGG